GAGGGCAGGGAGUUUUGCCAGCAGUACUCUAUAGGUAGGGGCUCCAUAAAUACGUGCUGAUUGAGCAGGUUUUCACACGCACUGCAGAGUUUCCAGAGAUAAAGCCCCACAACCAGAGAUGGCAAAGCACCUCCUUUCUCUGCCUCCAGGGAGGAGAAUUCAGCCGAGCAGGAAACUACGGAGCCUCUGAUUGGCUUCUGAGAGCUGGAGCAGUUUGUGUACACAACCAUCCUCUCAGAAGACAGGCAAGCAAGGCAGCUCUCCUGCCCCUCAGCACUGGCCACGCUGGGACACAGUGGGACAUCAGGACUUUAAGCCAUCCUUUAGGCCAAAGAAUCCCCACAUAACAAAUUCAUUGUGUGCAAUAAAGAACUUGGCUGCACCCCUAUCGGGGCGUUU
rnacentral:lncRNA from 1 species